rnacentral:misc_RNA from 1 species
UCCGGGUUGGACCCGGCGGUCCCGCCAGACAUGGUAACUGGCAGCGAGGGUUGCGCUCGUUGCGGGACUUAACCCAACAUCUCACGACACGAGCUGACGACAGCCAUGCAGCACCUGUGUUCCCGUUCCCUUUCGGGCACACCCAGCUCUCACCGGGCUUCGGGACAUGUCAAGGGUAGGUAAGGUUUUUCGCGUUGCAUCGAAUUAAUCCACAUAAUCCACCGCU